rnacentral:rRNA from 1 species
GAUGAACGCUGGCGGCGUGCCUAAUACAUGCAAGUCGAGCGAACAGACGAGGAGCUUUCUCCUCUGCGGUUAGCGGCGGACGGGUGAGUAACAAGUGGAUAACCUACCUAUAAGACUGGGAUAACUUCGGGGAACCGGUGCUAAUACCAGAUCAUAUAUUGAACCGCAUGGUUCAAUAGUUAAUGGCGGUUUUGCUGUCACUUAUAGAUGGAGUCGCGCCGGAUUAGCUAGUUGGUAAGGUAACGGCUUACCAAGGCAACGAUGCGUAGCCGACCUGAGAGGGUGAUCAGCCACACUGGAACUGAGACACGGUCCAGACUCCUACGGGAGGCAGCAGUGGGGAAUCUUCCGCAAUGGGCGAAAGCCUGACGGAGCAACGCCGCGUGGGUGAUGAAGGUCUUCGGAUCGUAAAACUCUGUUAUUAGGAAAGAAAAAAUGUGGAUGAAUACAUGGCCGUCUUGACGGUACCUAAUCAGAAAGCCACGGCUAACUACGUG